CAGUAGCCGCGGUAAUACGUAGGUGGCGAGCGUUGUCCGGAUUUAUUGGGCGUAAAGGGAGUGUAGGCGGUCUUUUAAGUCUGAUGUGAAAGCCCACGGCUCAACCGUGGAGGGUCAUUGGAAACUGGGAGACUUGAGUGCAGAAGAGGAGAGCGGAAUUCCAUGUGUAGCGGUGAAAUGCGUAGAUAUAUGGAGGAACACCAGUGGCGAAGGCGGCUCUCUGGUCUGUAACUGACGCUGAGGCUCGAAAGCGUGGGGAGCAAACAGGAUUAGAUACCCGUUAGUCCCUGUCUCUUAUACA
rnacentral:rRNA from 1 species